CCAAGCCCCAAGUAUUUUCAUUUUCCCACCUCUCUCUCUCUCUCUCUCUCUACAACCACCUAACCAACCAUCUCCCUUUUCAGCACAGUGAAGCUCAUUCCAUCCCCAUUUCAUUCCCAAAUCCAAGCCCCAGAUAUUUUCAUUUUCCCACCUCUUUCUUCGCCCUAUUCUCUCUCUCUCUCUCUCUUUCUUUACCACCAUCCACCCAACCAUCUUCCUUUUCGACACAGUGAAGAAUCUUGGAAAUCUUUAUUGAGAAAUAUUCAGUAAUCAAUUGGUUAGUGUUUUUUGAAGGUGUUGGUGGAAGUUAUGGUAGUGAUGAUUAUUGUUGUGGAUUUGAGUUAAAGAUAUUAGUAGUGGUGGUGGUUAUUAUUUUUUCAAACAGAUCUACUAUGGUGGUUGUAGAUCUAUUUUUUCUGUUCGAGAUCUAAUUAUGAUUGUUUGUGACCUAAUUUGUGUUGAUUGUAACCGGUUGUGACUUGAGAUUGAUCUGGUCACAGACAAUUACAUUAAAUACAAAUUUGGUCAUAAACCUCGUAUCAAUUUACCUUAAAUCUUGUAUCAAUUUUUAACCCACACACUCUAUUUCUUUCCCCAAAAAUUAGUUCGACACUCUCUUACCUAAAAAUCAGAUCUACGACUUCUUCUCCACCCACCCUCUAGAUUCCGACCACCUACCACUUCUCUCACCGGAGUUUCAUGAGAGAAGUUUGGUGGUGUUGGUUGGUGUUUUUUAAAGGGUUGGUGGAAGUUAUGGUAGUGAUGAUUGUUGUGGAUUUGAGAUGAAUGUAGUAUUUAUGGUCAUCAAUUUGAGUUAGAGAUGUUAAUACUACUUGUGGUUAUUAUUUUUUCGAACAGAUUUGCUAUAGUAGUUGGAGAUCUGGUUUUUCUGUUCAAGAUCUGGUUGUAACUGUUUGUGAUCAAUUUUGUAUUGAUUGUGACCGAUUGUAACUUGAGAUUGAUCUGGUCACAAACAAUCACAUUGAAUACAAAUUUGGUUACAAUUAGCCACAUUGAAGGAAAAGUUGGUCGCGGUGAUUCUCAAAUAACAUAAGUCAGUGAAUUGGUCACAUAUAACACAGGUGUGGUCACAGAUAGCACGGUUGCAAAUCUGAUAACUACAAUGCACCACUAUGACCAUCACAAUUUUUGGAGAUUUUUCUAUCAAUGGAGCCGGAACAAUUGGUGAAAUAAUAGCCGGAGCAAUCACCGAGCGUUUGCCGCAACAGUUUUUCGGAACGAUUGCCGGACCAAUCGCCGGAGCUGUUGCCUGAGCGGUCUCUAGAGUGAAUGCCGGAGCCGAUGGCUAUCUUCGAUGGAGAGAUUAAGGGAAGGUAGUGUAAUGGGGUGAUAGGAUGGGGUGAAUGAGAUGGCAUAGAGUGAAAAUAAUUAAUGUAUAUUAUAUUAUAAUUUAAUAUUUAAUAAAUAUA
rnacentral:lncRNA from 1 species